UACGAGGGGGGCGAGCGUUGUUCGGAAUUAUUGGGCGUAAAGGGCGCGUAGGCGGUCGGAUAAGUCUUGUGUGAAAUCUUCGGGCUCAACUCGAAGUCUGCACAGGAAACUAUCUGGCUUGAGUGUGGGAGAGGUGAGUGGAAUUCCUGGUGUAGCGGUGAAAUGCGUAGAUAUCAGGAGGAACACCUGUGGCGAAAGCGGCUCACUGGACCACAACUGACGCUGAGGAGCGAAAGCGUGGGGAGCGAACAGG
rnacentral:rRNA from 1 species